GGACUCCUUCUUUGCUGCAAGGGAGGGGGCUGGGGCUUUGGUGAGUGAAACACCACUUCUCUCCUCGCCAAAGCCCCGGCCUCCUUCCUUGCUGCAAGGGAGGAGGCC
rnacentral:pre_miRNA from 1 species